GUAGGGAAUAUUGGUCAAUGGACGAAAGUCUGAACCAGCCAUUCCGCGUGCAGGAAGAAGAUUCUAUGGAUUGUAAACUGCUUUUAGCAGAGAAGAAACGCCUUCAUUGAUGAGGGUUUGACGGUAUCUGCGGAAUAAGCACCGGCUAACUCCGUGCCAGCAGCCGCGGUAAUACGGGGGGUGCAAGCGUUAUCCGGAAUCACUGGGUUUAAAGGGUGCGUAGGCGGGAAAUUAAGUCAGUGGUGAAAGUCUGUUGCUUAACGAUAGAAUUGCCGUUGAUACUGAUUUUCUUGAAUUGGGUUGAGGUUAGCGGAAUGUGACAUGUAGCGGUGAAAUGCAUAGAUAUGUCAUGGAACACCAAUUGCGAAGGCAGCUAGCUGGGCCUUGAUUGACGCUGAGGCACGAAAGCGUGGGUAGCGAACAGGAUUAGAUACCCGUGUAGUCC
rnacentral:rRNA from 1 species